rnacentral:lncRNA from 1 species
GCACGAUCUGAUAUGUGACUCUUUUACUUGUCCUUCAAACAGAAGUUUCGAUGAUCCGGCAUGGGGUGCAGCAUUUGACACUAAUGACGAUGUGGAUUCUGUAUGGGGAUUUAACCCAAGCACCAAGGUCUGUCCCAAAACCUCCUUAAGAACCUGACCUGAGAUUAUAGAUAAGUUUUAGCCACUCUUUUCUAAAGCAAACUUCUUUUCGCACACAUAACUGUUCGUAACAGGACACUGAUUCAGAGAAACAUCAAGACUUCUUUGGUUCCCAUGACGACUUUAGAAUGAAGCCAAUCAGGACUUCAGGAUCUCCAACCAC